GAUCAACAAAAAAAAAAAACAGUCACACAAAAUCAAAUGUUAAUUCUUCUGAUUUUUCUUUUUUUUAUUUUUCCUAAAUGGAGCAAAGAAACACACUUUAUGAGAAAUUUUCUUCAAAUGAAGGAAAAUAAAAAAUAAAAAAAUCACUUUCUUUCAGCUAAAUCUUACUAGAAAAUAAGAACCCAAGUUAGAAACAGCAAGAGAUCAAGAACCAAUCUCAAGAAAACAUAAGGAUAUAUAGUUACAGAAAAAAAGAAGAAAAAAAGGAAGAACAAUAAUAACCCAAAAGCU
rnacentral:misc_RNA from 1 species